GAUGAACGCUGGCGGCGUGCUUAACACAUGCAAGUCGAACGAAUCCUUUCGGGGAUGAGUGGCGGACGGGUGAGUAACGCGUGAGUAGCUGCCCACAGGCGGGGGACAACCAUUGGAAACGAUGGCUAAUACCCCAUAUGCCGAGAGGUGAAAGAUUUAUCACCUGUGGAUGUGCUCGCGUCUGAUUAGCUAGUUGGUGGGGUAAUGGCUUACCAAGGCGACGAUCAGUAGCUGUUCUGAGAGGAUGAUCAGCCACACUGGGACUGAGACACGGCCCAG
rnacentral:rRNA from 1 species